rnacentral:rRNA from 1 species
AUUGAACGCUGGCGGCAGGCCUAACACAUGCAAGUCGAACGGUAACAGGAAGAAGCUUGCUUCUUUGCUGACGAGUGGCGGACGGGUGAGUAAUGUCUGGGAAACUGCCCGAUGGAGGGGGAUAACUACUGGAAACGGUAGCUAAUACCGCAUAACGUCGCAAGCCCAAAGAGGGGGACCUUCGGGCCUCUUGCCAUCGGAUGUGCCCAGAUGGGAUUAGCUAGUAGGUGGGGUAACGGCUCACCUAGGCGACGAUCCCUAGCUGGUCUGAGAGGAUGACCAGCCACACUGGAACUGAGACACGGUCCAGACUCCUACGGGAGGCAGCAGUGGGGAAUAUUGCACAAUGGGCGCAAGCCUGAUGCAGCCAUGCCGCGUGUAUGAAGAAGGCCUUCGGGUUGUAAAGUACUUUCAGCGGGGAGGAAGGUAGUAAAGUUAAUACCUUUGCUCAUUGACGUUACCCGCAGAAGAAGCACCGGCUAACUCCGUG